UAAGGUGUCUUGGCUAAGGUGUCUUGGCUAAUGUGUCUUGGCUAAAGUGUCUUGGCUAAGGUGUCUUGGCUAAUGUGUCUUGGCUAAAGUGUCUUGGCUAAGGUGUCUUGGCUAAUGUGUCUCGGCUAAGGUGUCUUGGCUAAGGUGUCUUGGCUAAGGUGUCUUGGCUAAUGUGUCUUGGCUAAGGUGUCUUGGCUAAGGUGUCUUGGCUAAAGUGUCUUGGCUAAUGUGUCUCGGCUAAGGUGUCUUGGCUAAUGUGUCUUGGCUAAAGUGUCUUGGCUUAGGUGUCUUGGCUAGUGUGUCUCGGCUAAGGUGUCCUGGCUAAGGUGUCUUGGCUAAUGUGUCUUGGCUAAAGUGUCUUGGCUAAGGUGUCUUGGCUAAUGUGUCUCGGCUAAAGUGUCUUGGCUAAGGUGUCUUGGCUAAGGUGUCUUGGCUAAGGUGUCUUGGCUAAGGUGUCUUGGCUAAGGUGUCUUGGCUAAUGUGUCUCGGCUAAGGUGUCUUGGCUAAUGUGUCUUGGCUAAUGUGUCUCGGCUAAGGUGUCUUGGCUAAUGUGUCUUGGCUAAGGUGUCUUGGCUAAGGUGUCUUGGCUAAGGUGUCUUGGCUAAGGUGUCUUGGCUUAUGUGUCUUGGCUAAGGUGUCUUGGCUAAUGUGUCUCGGCUAAGGUGUCUUGGCUAAGGUGUCUUGGGUAAUGUAUCUUGGCUAAAGUGUCUUGGCUAAGGUGUCUUGGCUAAUGUGUCUCGGCUAAGGUGUCUUGGCUAAGGUGUCUUGGCUAAGGUGUCUCGGCUAAUGUGUCUUGGCUAAGGUGUCUUAGCUAAGGUGUCUUGGCUAAUGUGUUUUGGCUAAGGUGUCUUGGCUAAUGUGUCUUGGCUAAGGUGUCUUGGCUAAGGUGUCUUGGCUAAGGUGUCUUGGCUAAGGUGUCUUGGCUAAGGUGUCUUGGCUAAUGUGUCUUGGCUAAAGUGUCUUAGCUAAGGUGUCUUGGCUAAUGUGUCUUGGCUAAGGUGUCUUGGCUAAUGUGUCUCGGCUAAGGUGUCUUGGCUAAGGUGUCUUGGCUAAUGUGUCUUGGCUAAGGUGUCUUGGCUAAUGUGUCUUGGCUAAAGUGUCUUGGCUAAUGUGUCUCGGCUAAGGUGUCUUGGCUAAUGUGUCUUGACUAAAGUGUCUUGGCUAAGGUGUCUUGGCUAAUGUGUCUUGGCUAAUGUGUCUUGGCUAAUGUGUCUUGGCUAAGGUGUCUUGGCUAAGGUGUCUUGGCUAAGGUGUCUUGGCUAAGGUGUCUUGGCUAAUGUGUCUUGGCUAAGGUGUCUUGGCUAAUGUGUCUUGGCUAAGGUGUCUUGGCUAAUGUGUCUUGGCUAAGGUGUCUUGGCUAAGGUGUCUUGGCUAAGGUGUCUUGGCUAAUGUGUCUUGGCUAAGGUGUCUUGGUUAAUGUGUCUUGGCUAAUGUGUCUUGGCUAAGGUGUCUUGGCUAAGGUGUCUUGGCUAAGGUGUCUUGGCUAAGGUGUCUUGGCUAAGGUGUCUUGGCUAAGGUGUCUUGGCUAAUGUGUCUUGGCUAAGGUGUCUUGGCUUAAGUGUCUU